rnacentral:lncRNA from 1 species
GUGUAUGUACUGAGGAUUGCCCCUGGGCAUUCAAAUGCUGGUAAAGAAUAAUUACUGUGCUGGUUAGUAAAAGUGACAACACAUGAAACUUUGCCUUGAACAGGGGAAUUGAGUGAAGUCUGGAUUUGCUUCAUUAUUCCAGGAAGAAAAUACCACUUAUUAGAAUGCUUCCCAUGGAGAUGUAUUAUUUUUCUAUUUUUAAAAAUCUUUGCUGAAAGUAUUAUUUAAAAAAAGGAAGUCAUUCACUCAACAGUUUUGGGCAAUAGAAUUGUGAUUCCUGUCUUAAUAUGGUUUACCAAUUAGUAGAAAAUUUUGGUUACGACUGAAUAUUAAAAAUGCUGUGAUGAAAUAAUUCCAGGUGUUGUAAACACACAAUGGGGAGAAGCACCUAGCCCUGCAUUUGGAGGCAAGGGAAUGCUUUCCAAGAAGGGGAAUUUCAAACCGUGUCCUAAAAAUGAUAGGAAUUAGGAACAAGAAGAUUUUUUCCAGGCAGAGGAAGCAUCAUACAUAAAGACAGAGGGACCUAAGAGAUGCUGGUACAUUUUGAGGAACUCAGAGGCAUUCUGCUUAGUGAAAGACUACAGGCAAUGGACAAAGACUGGCCAGUUGUGGCCAGGGCAUGAAAAGCCAUAUAAACCACAUAAAGGAUCCUUAGGGACUGGGAUUCUUUUUUUAAAAAAAUUUUUUAAUAUUUAUUUUUCAAGUAUCGGCGGACACAACAUCUUUGUUUGUAUGUGGUGCAUGAGGAUCGAACCCAGGCCGCACGCAUGCCAGGUGAGCGCGCUACCACUUGAGCCACAUCCCCAGCCCCAGGGACUGGGAUUCUAUCAUUGGAUUAAAUUUGGGGAAUGACACCUGAGAUUUGAAUUGCAGAAGGAUUUGGAAAGUGGGUGAUGGAGACUGUUUCAGCAUGUGCAAGUGCCCUGAGGUAGAAAGAUUCGGGCAUGAACAUGGAACCUAAAAGGCUAGUUUGAUUGGAAUAUAACUGUGUGAGGGAGAAGGGGGCAGUGAAGACUAGAGGCGAGUCUCCAUUUUGAAUCCUGUAGUCUGUUAAUGAUUAUUUUUUUAAUCCUAGAAAAUCAUAACUUUAGCUUCUCUGUAGCAAAUGGACUUGGAGCAGGGACGACAAGAGUCGAAAAGAGGAACCAGUCAGGGAGCCGUUAAAAGAGACCUCUUUUUGGACUAAGAGUCAAAUGGUGAAACAUGGAGAGAAGGAGAUCAGUUUACGUGAUUUUGAAGAGCUUGUUAGAGGUCAAGGAAGAGGGAUUAAAAGGAGUGCGGGUAUUUAUUUCCAGGCUGGUGUUUGGUUUCAGUCAUCGGGUCCUGACUCACAUGGCUGUCCACAGAACAGGCUGGUCUGGGAGACAGAGAAGGACAGCCUUGGAAUGCUCCUGCCUGUGCCCAAAUGCUGACAAGACGACUUGUUGGGCCCCUCCAGAGGAGCGCCUUACUGUUGGACAAGAAAGAAGCGGGGCUGGGUAGGGAUCAUAAAGCUUGCUUGCUCCUGGAGCUCUGAUCCUCCUCCUCCCCUUUCUUCUCUGAUUCAUUGAUCUUGUUCCCAGCCUCUGGAGCCUCGUAGAACAAGCGUGAUCACUCUUCACAUGACAGAUAUUCUAAGGCAGCUGACGUGUUCACUGGUCCUCCUCAAGUUCACAUCCCUGUUCCUUCAGCCGUUCCUCCUGACUUUUAUGUUUGAAGCCUUUUGCCAGGCCGUCAGUCACCUUCCUUCAGACACAUUCCGUUGUGCAGUGUCUUUCCUAAAACGUGACAGAUUGCUGCUGGCGCUCACCUUGACAACAGAAACGAAGGCCUUUGGAGAAAAUGAUACCGAUCCUUUCUUCAACAUUGUGUUUGCAUUAGUAUAUCCUCAUAGAACAAGGUUGAAAAAACACAGAAAACAUAAGGAAGAAAAAUUUAAAUUCCUGUAAUAAUACUACCCAUAAAUAAUUAGCUUAAAUUUUGGUUUUGUUUCCCAUAGUCUUUUCUAUAUAUGUAUUUGUUAUUGUCUUAAAAAUCAAUACAGGUGGACCUUUUGCUUUUAUGUUCAACUGUUUUUUUAUGUUGGUAAAAGUUCUAAUUGGACUAAUUAGGCUGUGCAGAGCACUUGCCUAGCACAUGAAGUCCUGGGUUCUAUCGUCAGCACCACAUGAAAAUAAACAAAUAAAAAUAAAGGCAUGCUGUCCAUCUACAACUGUAAAAUUUUUUUUUUAAAGUUCUAAUCACCAUUAUUUUGUUUGACCACUUGCUGAUGUAAUGAAUUGUUUCUAGUUUUUCACUUUUAUAAAUAACAUGCAUUUGCACGUACACAACAGCACCUCAGCACACACGUCUUUUUUCUUGUCUCAUCUCCUCGGCGUAGAUGCCUCUGGUGGAAUUACUGGGUACAGAUGUAUUCUGGGUGCUUGGUCCUCUAGGAGGGCUUCACUCAUCUCUCUCUUCACUCUCCAACAAGGAUAGGUGAACCCGUCCAUUUCAGUAUACCUUGCCCCAUUCUAGAAGGAUAAGACAAAUGGUGACAGGCCCUAAGUAUGAGGAGGGCAGGUGUAGGUGAGACCUGGCUUAAGCAGCUUGCAUUUUUGAGUGCUCAUGUGUCAAGCAUUUGCUAAGCCUGUUGCAUAUAUUUAAAUGAAGUACUUCUCAUACCAGCCCUACACAUCGUAUGCUGCUACAGAUAAAGAAAUAGACACUCAGCAAAGUGGCCUGCCAAAGGCCACAGAUAGCUUCAGUGUAAAGAUAAUUUAGGCAUCAGUAACAGAAUAGUUGACUAAAGUGGGUUUUAAUUCUAGGUUUUUGUUUAGUAAUCCUUUUUCCUUCAUGUGUAAUGUAGAUACAGAAAAGUGUACACACCUUUAAUGGUAUUAUUUGAUGAAUUGUCAUAGUUCCCACCUCAGUAGCACCGUCCAGUCAAGGAAUGGACUAUUAUCCAUGUAAAGCAUCCUCCAGGUCCCUGCCUGUCAACAUUCACCUCCACAAGAUGAGCCAUCCUCAUUCCUAACGUUAUAGAUCCUGUUUGCCUGUUUUUGAACCUUAUGUAAAUGAAAUUUUUGUGGACAUAUUCCUUAUUAAUUUUUUCUCCUUUCCCUCAACAUUUGAUUCUGAGAGUAAUUUAUUUUGUGUAGCAGUGAUGUGUGCACUUUUAUUUCUGGAGAGCAUUCAUCUUGUAUGACCACACCACAAUUCAUCAUUUUACUGUUGUUGAUGGACUUUUAUGUUGUUUCUGGUUUGUGACUCCAAUGAAUGGUGCAAUUUGGAACACUUUUGUACAGCAAAAGAUAACAUGUGCUUUUGGCCUGGGAUGUGGUUAUGUAAUUCUCUGUUUUUCUGUGUCUAAAAUAUUUAUUUGAAACUAUUCGUGUGUGUGUGUGUGUGUCACAUGUACUGUGUGCUUCCAGAAAGGAACACAGUUGGGAUCUCUGCUCAAGGGAAGGGCUGAAGAUCUCCACAUCAGAAGAAGUCCCUCUUGGAGGGAUGCUUGCCUCAGUGAAUGGGACAUUAACUCUGCUGCUGGCAGCUACCAACAGGAGCAGCUUCAGGAGGAAGAAUGUUUCUCUAAUUUAAUUAUGAAUCUCAGGGAAGCAUAUCAUGAUCCUCUUCAACCUGCUGUGCUGAGUGGCAGGAUGCCACUGGAUGUCUACCAGGUAGAGGAAGGGGCAAGGGAGUGUGUACAUCUUUACACUCUGCGACGGAAGCAUAUCUCCACACACAGAGUCAACUACAGAGAUUCGGGUCCCAAAUUUGGUCAGACCCCUAAAUCAUUUAUCUCUACAUUUUGAAGAUUUCAAGAGCAUAUUGUGAAGUUGGACAGACUGAGGGUAUCACAAUCCUGCUGUGCCUAGGGCAGUUCCACUUACACCUGUUCUUUUGGUGCCACUGUUAAUAGCACCUCCUUGGGUCCUAGUAAUGUCCUGGCUUUUAUGAUGAGUUAUAAGGUCCCCUACUUAGACAUGGUGAUUGAGGUUCUGCCACUUAGGUGCAUUGUGACCUCAGACAAGUUACUCUGCUUCUCCAAGUUUUGUGUUCCAUACCUGCCACAUAGGGUUGUAGUAAAUCUUAAAUAAGGAUGCAACGUACUUAGUUCUGUCUUGGUUCAGAAAAAGGAUGCAGACUUCAGACCUUAAGGCCUUUUACAUUUUAUCUUGGCUACUGUUACCAUUGUAACUAGAAUUGUCUUCAAGCAUGAUGAUGAAUUGUGAAUGAGACAAAAGAAGCUGGGAAGCUGUACAUUUUCUCCAUCUUACCCCUAAAAAGAAUUUGCUUUACUUCCCAGGAUAGGAGGAGUAAUUGGCUUUCCUUCAGGGUUGUACUGCAAAUGUGGAAGCUAAUGACAUUUGAAUGUGAACUCACCAUUGGUUAAACAGGGUUGGGUUUAAAUGCCUUGGUCUGCACUUCAGGGGGUGAUAAGGAAAUCUUGAGAUGGUAUUCACUAUUAUCAGUGGAGUGACCAUCCAGUCUGGUUGAGGCCUGUUGCCUUCUGUCAGCCUUUAAUAGCAUUCCCUUUGCCUCUCAAAGGUCUCCCAUUUCAGGUCUGCAUAGGACCACCCUGAGAUGAGGAGUCAGACCAGAAACAGGGCAAAAAGAUCCAUAAGCAGGACAUUCCAGAUACUAUUAUAUGGGAAAUGUGAAAUGAAUGAAGUAUAAUUAUCUGUGUUAAAUAUGGAUAAAGCUCCAAAUAAAUGUUGAAUGGGAAAGCAAAUUGCAGAGGGGUACCUACUGUAUAAUUUCAUUUAUGAAAAGUUAAAUGAUUUAAGCAAAGUUAAAUAAUUUAUUGCCUGAGGACACAUAGAUAUUUGAUGAAAAUAUAAAGAAAAGCAAAGGGGUGAUUAAUUCAAAAUUCAGAUUGGUGGUUAUCUGCAUGGGGGUGGGGGAGGUCAUAGAAAGAUGCCUGGCUUCAAAGAUGUAUUUUAUACUAUUUCUCAGCUGUGAAAUUGGUAUAUGAAUGUUUCAUUAUUGUUCUUUUAUUUAAAAUGUGCCUACAUGUUAGGAUUCUUUUGGAUUUAUUGUGCUGUUUUACCAGAAGAAAUAAAAUAAUGUACACAGAGUAAAAUAAAAAUAAAACAUGAUAUUGCAUUAUGUCAAA